rnacentral:rRNA from 1 species
AUUGAACGCUGGCGGCAGGCCUAACACAUGCAAGUCGAACGGUAGCACAGAGAGCUUGCUCUCGGGUGACGAGUGGCGGACGGGUGAGUAACGUCUGGGAAACUGCCCGAUGGAGGGGGAUAACUACUGGAAACGGUAGCUAAUACCGCAUAACGUCGCAAGACCAAAGUGGGGGACCUUCGGGCCUCACACCAUCGGAUGUGCCCAGAUGGGAUUAGCUAGUCGGUGGGGUAAUGGCUCACCUAGGCGACGAUCCCUAGCUGGUCUGAGAGGAUGAGCAGCAACGCUGGAAAUGGGACACGGUCCAGAGUCGUACGGGAGGCAGCAGUGGGGAAUAUUGCACGAUGGGCGCAAGCCUGCUGGGGCCAUGCCGGGUGUAUGAAGAAGGCCUUCGGGUUGUAAAGUACUUUCAGCGGGGAGGAAGGCGGUGAAGUUAAUAACUUGACCGAUUGACGUUACCCGCAGAAGAAGCACCGGCUAACUCCGUGCCAGCAGCCGCCGUAA